CGUCGACCGGCGCACGGGUGAGUAACGCGUAUCCAACCUACCCAUUACUGUGGGAUAACCUGCCGAAAGGCAGACUAAUACCGCAUAGUCUUCGAUGACGGCAUCAGAUUCGAAGCAAAGAUCCGUCGGUAACGGAGGGGGAUGCGUCUGAUUAGCUAGUUGGCGGGGCGACGGCCCACCAAGGCGACGAUCAGUAGGGGUUCUGAGAGGAAGGUCCCCCACACUGGAACUGAGACACGGUCCAGACUCC
rnacentral:rRNA from 1 species